GUUGGCGUUUCCUCUCAGGAAGUUCAGACAGAAACGACAAAUAUCACAGCGAUGUUUUUUUUCUUUAUAAAGAAUGUUUUCAUAAAAUCCCUCCCAACCACGAGCGUUUCAGGUGUGAAACAGGAGCGUUCUACGCUGCUACGCUGGUCCCGCAAAGUCACAAAAUCAUGGGAGAAUUGAAACACCACGUGUGAUUUCAACAGUCCACGCAAUAACAAGAAAGGGGAAAAAAAGCUGGGAAUCAGAUGCCAAUCAAAGACAAACCAAGCAAAGUGAAGACAUGUCCAGUCAGCAGGAGAUCCCGGGUUGACCCAGGACACGUUGGAGUGAGACGACCCAUGUUGGCCUGAGAACACCGGUCCUGCCGGUGGAGAUGGUGGGGGUUGUUGAGGAGAGGGAGGUUUGGGCCUCUCUGCUGGAGCUGCUACCUGCGACCUGAACUCAGAUAAGCAGGUGAAAACAGACAAACUGACUAAAAAGAAAGAGAUGAGCUUCUUCCAUGGGCGACCAGGCUUAGUUGUAGGAAUAGAUGAAGAACUUCAUCAUCCAGGAGGAGUUUGAACCUCCAGAGAGAGAUCUCUCUCUGGAGGGUAUCAAGGCACAUCCUUCAGGGAUGAGAUCCCAGGGACAAACCCAAAACUCACUGGAGGGACUGUUCUCUCUUGCCUGGAACACUUUGGGACGCCCUAGAACAGACUGUCACUAGGGAGAGGGGAGUCUGGGCUUCCCUCCUGGACCUGCCACCUCUAUGAUGUUCCCUUAUUAAAUAAGAAGAGUUUGGAUGAAUUAGUUUACUUAAAGUUAGAUUUUCACACAAAUGCAUCAAUACGAAGAUUAGUAUUGUGAUUACUUUCUUGACUGCUGACAAAUUGAGCAACAACAAAUUUUAACUUUUAUGUUUUUUCUAUCUAAAAAAACAAACUUUAGCUGAAUUAAAGACAUUAAAAAAAUAUUAUUUUAUGAGGAAAGUAAAAAGUGAAGACACAAAACCUUUACCUAAAUAUUGAAAAUAAUGUAAAAAUAUUUAUAAAACAAACUAAACAAUUAAAAACCCUCAGGAUGUUACCCUGUUUCUUUAAUCCAUCUGACUUUUGGCUGAAAAUCAGACCUGCUGUAGCAAACAAAUCCUGGCUCUCUUGACUCUACGCAGCUCUGAUUAAUGGUAGAGGCUGUGGGUGGGUGGUAGACAUGGAUCUGCCCAUUACCACACUGCAACAUUGCAAAUGGCUUCAAUUACUGCAGAGUGUGCUGAGCUGGCAGUACGGGGCUCCGGGAGGCGAGAUGAGCAACGUGUACGAUCCAGCAGCUAAAGCCACUGUGAUCCGUUCAUUUCACACAUGAUCACCGUGCGCAUCCUCUCCUAUCGGUCCACCACAAAUAAAUGAGGAACAAAGAAGUUGGCCAAAGAAUGAGCGAUCAAUACUGCAUUUUCAAUGUUUCCCUGUUUUUUUUUUUCUUCUUCUCCCCCAGCCAGUAAUUCUGAACCUAUUCAGCUCUUAAUCUUCUGAUUCUGCUGAAUUUAGGGGCUGGGGUCAGGAGACGGGGGGUGGGGGGACGACUGCGAAUGCGUGGCGAUUCGUGCAAACUGAAACAACACCAGACAGCUUCCCCCAAGGCCUCGGGGCUUCCCUCCCAGCAUUGCAACACUGUUUCCCUUGACAAAUUGACUUGUCGGCACCAAACAGUAACAGGACAUAUGAAAGGCUUGCCAAGUGGCUGACAACUAUCAGGAGGGUCUGAGCGUGCACCCCCUCAACACACACACACACACACUGCCAAAGGGGCAGCUUCCAGUCAGGGACAGUCUUCCUGAGCCAGAGCAAUGGGGAUUCCCUCCGAUAACGCCCCUGUGCCCAGUGCCAGGAGCUCAGCCCCCCUGUAGAUCCUUAUGUAACGAACCAGCUGUCUCCACCAGUUCACUGACCCACAUUCAUAACCUUAACCCAGGAGGCACAGCAGACUCCCACGGUUCCUCGCAGCAGCUCUGCUCCACCUCUAAUUGUUCGGCCCCUCUGGCCAUCACUUAUUACUUAAGUGAUGGUCAGAGAUGAAAAGAAAAAAAGACAACAAAUCUGAAAUAAAAUUGAGUCAACGACUCCACUGCUGGAAGUGGAAAAUGAUCAUUAGGAGCCCUCCACCCACGACUAAAUGUGCUCCCUUCUCAAAUCAUGUCAAUUAAUGUCAACGGUUAUGAAAAAUCCUCUCUGUGUCACACCACAUGGAGGGAGGACAGAUGCUAAUAAGUGAACAUACUUAACGGAGGAGGUGGGGAGACAUGGGAUUCCCUCCGAGUGUGUAUCUACACGGUCCUGUGGAGGCGAGUGUUAAUGCAGCAGGUACAUCACUAUAUUAAAUAAACAUAAAGAACAUCGCAGGACUUUUAUUCUCAGUGCUCACACGGCAUCGUUUUCCUCCAUGCUCUUCAUUAGGACAGUUAUUCCCACAAAGUGAAACAUUUGAUUAUCCGAGAGUGAAAUACUUAAUGUAAUUUCCUUUGAACAGAGCAGACAGUUAGCAGGAGAGAGGAAGUGUGCUACAGCGGGAGCUGCAGAUUGAGGAUGGGUGGAUCCACUCAUCUCACUGGCUUUAUUAUCAGGAUGAACUAAUGUAUUAAAGGCAAAAUAUAAUAAUAAUAAUCUGACAUUCUUUUUUCUAAAAAUGAUGUUAAAAUAUUCUAAAUAACAAACUAUUUUUCAUGAUAUUAUUUCUUCAGUUGUAGAAACUCUUAGGUCUGUGAUGAACGUGUGUGGGAUUAAACAAAAAUAGAAAAAUAAUAAUUAAAAACAAAAAAACACCUCCUUUGACACUUCUUUUCCCAAAACUUUUAACAUCAAACAGACUUCAGUCUAAUGUGACUGGAUUGUUUGCUGACAGAGCUGUCAGAACUUCAAACAGCAGAGACUGGCAGCACCACUCAUUCAUCGCUGCCGAGCUUGAAGUCUCACACCGCCCCGAUCUCCCCUCAAAUCAUCGGCUGUGACUCGAGUAGAACCGACAGGGAGACACGCCUCCCGUGAGGUGCGGAGCGCCGUUUCGCACCUUCCCACAGACUUCAGACAAGGAAAAACGAAAAAUAAAGCAAAUUUUAACUGUAAACAAAACAAUAAGUCUGCAAGACAAACAAGGCAGACUUCUGAGAAUCGGAAAACAACUAUUUGAUAAUGGUUUCAGCAACAAUUAACGUUAGUGGCUGGACGUUAAUCACAUAGACAGGGACGGCUGACUGGAUUUCAGGUGUGAUAGAAGCUAACAGCAAAUGGUCAGGUCAGACUCGUGGAGGUGUGUGUGGGAACCAGUAUCACUGAACCCUCACCGACCUCAUGAAUGCGGCCUUUAUUUUCUCAUAAUCGUCUUCAGAUACUAAAAUAAAACCUUAGAAUAGUAAAACUAGACACAGUCAAAGUCUGAAAUGCCUGUUAAAUUCAGAAUAGAUUUUAAUAUCCUCCUUCUCACAUAUAAAGCUCUUUAAUUAUCAAGCUCCAUCAUAAAUCAUUGACCUGAUUGUUCCAUACGUUCCUAACCGAGCACUUCGCUCUCAGACUGCAGGUUUACUGGUGUUUCCAGAAUAUCUAAAAAUAGGAUGGGAGGCUGAUCUUUUAGUUAUCAGGCUCCUCUCUUGUGGAACCAGCUCCCAGCUUUAGUCCAUGAGGCAGACACCUUGUCGACUUUUAAGACUAGACUUAAAACAUUUUUAUUUGAUAGGGCCUAUGGUUAAAAUCUGAUGUUAGCCUAGAUCUGGACAAGUGGGGGAGUAGAGGGAGGUGGAGUGUACAGUCGGUAAAGACGGCUCUCCCUUGCCCUGCCUCCAACAUGCCUCCAUCUAAAAGGCUAGGUUAUCCAGAGUUAUCUCUGUAGUUAUGCUGCUAUAGGCUUAGACUACUGGAGGACCCACUGACCACUUUUCACACUCUACUACUUUCUCUGCUCUUUAACUGUAUUAUUUCCUGCAAUUUCAGCUGUUAACUUUAUUUUUUCUCUAAGUAUUUUUCUCCCCAGAAGAAGUUACAAUGAUGUUCUGCUGAGCUGUGGUGGCCUCAUGGAGGGGGCCAUCGUCUUGAACACUGUUGCUAACCAUUUAAUCAUUCUCACUCUCCUGAUAAUAACAUUUAACUUUCCUUGACUUUGAAUGUGCUACUGCUAGUUUACCCGUUUAAUUAUAGAUUCACUAGGAUAAAUACAAUGAAGUUUAUCUCUCAACAAAUAGAAUAUUUACUAAGAAAUCACAAUGUAACCAUAGAAACGUUACUUGGUAUAUAUGUUGUAUGUGUGUGUGUGUGUGUGCGUGUGUGCGUGUGUGCGUGUGUGCGUG